UAAUGAUUAAACUGCUGUCUAAUGCUCCGCUGGACGGCCAAACCAAACAGGGGAAAUUUCCUCACUGAAGAUGGACUCGCACCGCCCUUGUACUGGAUGCAAUUUGGUGUUUUAAAAGCCAUUACCCGGCGGUCAUCUCUACGUGACGGACAGAGGUCUGGUAGGGCUUCUUGGGGGAUGAAAAGGCAAAUCAGGAAAGGAAGCUUUGCAAGUCAAGGAGUGGCAGAGAGGCGGCCCAGGUGCUUUGCAUUCCCUGGGUGAGUGCGCAGGUUCUGUCGGGGACCAUCUGGAGCCAAGCUUUGCAACUCAGCCAGCAGAGCCCCCCAUAGGCCCACACCAUCUCUCUUCCACCAAAUCUCUUUGCCGUUUACCGUGGACCACGGAGCCGCCCCACCCACACCGUCCCCGUUCUGGGAGUGAUCGAUGACUGCUGGACACACGCAGAGGGACAGCCGGAGAGACGUCUGCUCCUUCCACGGGCUCGGCAGAGGAGGCGAUGGUGAUUUUUCAUCUGCUCCCGAGCAGAACCAAGCCCAGACAGGCUCUGCGAGAUGACAAAUAAAGCGUUGUGUUUAUGACGCCAUGAAAAGCCUCCUUUUUCCUCCUAAAAAAAAAAAAAUAAACUUAUUUAUUUCCUUGUGGGUAUGGGUUUGCGGUAAGUGUGGAAGGAUUAAGCCUUUGAAGCUGUCGAUUUAUAUCCGUGAGUAAUGCGAAGCCUUUGUCUUGGAGAGGAGAGAGCCUUCCAAAUUGCAGAGGAGCGAGUCGGGGCCCCUUGGCUCCAUCCCUCCGGGGCUCAUUUGUUAAAUAUUUAACGAGCACCUCCUGCCUGCCAAGCCUGGUGUCGGAGGCUGCGAGCAGAGACUAUAGCAGAGGGCACGGUCCCUGCCCUGUCUACCCGGGUGAUCUACAGGAGUAUCGGCUUUCCCAAACCACAAAGGAGGACAGACAGAGUCCUGUGGCAGAUCACUGGAGACUGGGUUUCAGAUAUGCCAGUCCUCUGCGGGAUUACCUGCUUGCCAUCUUGAUGGCCAACUCACCAUAUUGUCACCUUGUACUUCAAGCCUUUUGGUUAGUAAAGAAUUCCUGUGAGAGCAGGGAGGAAGAGCAUGAGAAAAAGAUUAACAUUAAAC